rnacentral:lncRNA from 1 species
GGAAUACAUAUUAAUAACUUUAUUGUUCAAACGAAGAUCACUCCUGAACUUUGAUCUCAAAAAGUAAUCAUGCACCUUUUUAGCAUCUUCAAGUUUCUUCGAGUUCGCACAUAACUCAAAGAGCAUCUCAAAACAUUGCGCAUCUCCAGCUACUCCCUGCUCCAUAUGUUCAAUAACCUCCUUAACUUUACCCUCUCGGCACAAGCUGAUUAAAUCGAGCAUCUCAAAACAUUGCGCAUCACCAACUACUCCCUGCUCCAUAUGUUCAAUAACCUCCUUAACUUUACCCUCUCGGCACAAGCUGAUUAAAUCAACAGUAGGCAGAGGAACACUUGGUACUUGAUUCUGCACAACCUGAGCUU